rnacentral:lncRNA from 1 species
ACAGUUUAUACCCUCAUGUGUUGUUGUUUCUAGAAAUUUAGUUAGUGCACACUUCUUGGACUAGAACACAAUAUGCAGUAGGAAACUGAUAAACUUCUAUGCCUUUGUCAGUUCCACAAAGAAAAAAAGUAUUCCGUAUGUGCACAGAUCAAAAACCAGGAAAGAAUAGAACUCUGUGUACAGAUAUAUGUGGAUGUGCUUGAUCAAAGAAGCAUGUGUAUACAAAGAGUGAUUCAUCCCUCCUCAAGCCCUUGGAAAAUGUUGGCAAAGAUGUCUACAAACAUCCUUGAAGUGGGAUGAAUGAUUCCCAGGGAACUGGAAUGGUAUGAGCUUGGCAGUGGAAAAAUCAGAACUUCAGUGAGGAUGAAUUUGGUGGUUUUGUGUAUCUUAGCAGAAAUGUAUGUAUAGUUUCAUGUUGUAUGAAGUACAUACAUCAGGAUGUGAUCACCCAGCAUUUGGAAAUCCUUCCUGGGGCUUUUAAGAACUGAAAGGGCCCUAAGCAUAGCUUUCCAUCCCGAGACAGACGGAGCCACAGAAUGGAUCCAGAAGACCCUUCAUCAGUUUCUCCGUUGCUAUAGCACAUAGCAACAAAAUUAAUCGGCCUCGCUUCUUCCCUUUACAGAAUACUGCAUUGAUAAUUCGGACCACGCCUCCACUGGAGUCUCACAGUUUAAGGUUGUAGAGGGUAGGGAUUUCCCACCAUUUCCAGCAUUACUUAAGGACCCACCCGCCGACGCAAAGCCAGGAGACUGGAGGGAGAAGAUUGCUGCCUCUUGGCCUUCGAUUCAAAAUGCACUGCAUUCGGCUAAGAUGGAUUACAAAAAACAUGCGGAUAAAAAGAAAGCAGCACACCUGGACUUUAAGGGUCAUCUUCGCGGAGGGAGGAGUCAUGUCAGGAUGUGAUCGCCCAGCAUUCACACUAGCUGAACUAUUUCCAUCCUGCCAAAAGCAAUUGGGGUGGAGAUAACCUAAAUGAUAAGAACCAUCUGGCUAGGAGGAUUGAUUUAUGGCCAUGAUCUGGUUUUCAAACCUGGGAAAGGACUAUCGACAGACAAGUGUGAAUGUGGAAGGGGGCUGGGGGGGAGUAGUAGGAUAUACUAGGGUCCGGGCGGAAGUUGAUUAGUAACAGCUUUGUGCUCGUCUUGGCAAGAAG